GUUUGAUUGGGUCUUUUGUUGUCGGCGGUUUUGAAUUUUUAUGGGUUUUUGAUUGGGUCUUUUGCUGUGAGGAAGAAGAAGACCUGCGCUAUCUGCUAUAUCCUUUAAGUAUAUAGGCGUAUCGAGCUUCAGCUUCGCUGUUCUGUGUGAUCAAAUUUUGCCAUCGACGUCAACCAUCGUGAAAGCUUGGUGGGAUUUCGAUUUGUUUAUGAAUAAAGAGAUUGGGUUUUUUUCCUGCGGUUCUGGAAAAGAAAGGACAAGAGGAGAAAUUUAAUCCCAAGAUUGCAUUAUACUUGGACAUGGUCUACGUAGUAGAUUAAGGAAGUUGAAUUCAAGAGAGAGUUGCCUCCAGGUGAGAUAAUGAUAAUGCCGUUGAAUGUAACUGUUGGACAGCUAAAAUAGGAGGCUGAGAGUGUCCUAAAGGAUGCAUAUUAACAGUUUGUGGUGAAGAAAAUCAAAAGCCUGAAGGAAUCAGAUUAUAUGAAAGUAUUUUCUGAACAGUUCAGUU
rnacentral:lncRNA from 1 species